GGCUGAACGCCUGUCAGGAGGAGGCCCACCUGGUAUUAACCCGUGACGGACAGAGACAGAGAUGAUGGGAAGGUAGAGAUAGGAUGAUGGCUGCCUCGACGGAACAGAAGGUCCAGACCCACGGGCUGUGCCGUGAGACACAAGCCAGGAAGCAGCCGUGCAAAUUCAGGGUCAGUGCGGCCCCAGCGGAGGACGUCCCCCACCCACUGCAGGGAAUAUGGGGUCUGGGGUCAGAGCCACCCUCCCCAGAAGAGCACUUCUCUUUCUCCGUGAGAGCAACCAGCCUGGAUUCCCAGAGAAGCAGGAGGAAAAUGUGGAGACGCUCUCUGUGCAAACUCACCUACGGAAAGACCCCAGCUCCUGCCAUGUCCUGCCUCCCACAUAGUGACCCGUGUUCAGAGGCAAGGGAAACCAAAGCAAAAAUGAACUAUUGGGACC